rnacentral:tRNA from 1 species
GGGAGUCGCGUUCAGCGACGCGGGGCGGCCUCUUAAGCAGGGUGUCCGGGGUUCGAUUCCCCGCUGGCCCUCCA